rnacentral:rRNA from 1 species
UCCUAGCAGUAAACACUGCACACUAAACAUUAGUAUCUCCUCGAGAGAUAUUAGUGCUGAAGGGAAGCCGAAGAGUGUGCUACCUGGGAAGUAUAGUCGCAAGGCCGAAACUUAAAGGAAUUGGCGGGGAGACACUACAACGGGUGACGCGUGCGGUUCAAUUAGAUUAUACACCGUGAACCUCACCAGGAGCGACAGCAGAAUGAAGGUCAGUCUGAAGGUCUUACCUGACA